rnacentral:sRNA from 1 species
UCCAAAACUACUUAGAGGAAUGUGUCC